CCCCUACCCCUCUACACCCCCCUCCCUAACCUCAACUCUCUGUCCUCACAGUUGAGAGGUGAGCUAGCCGGCAGCUAGUCAUAAACAGAAAAUGGGAGAUGUAAAAGUGUGUGUUGUCUGCAGUGAAAAUAUCAACGAUCGGGCGAUGAAGGCCAAAGACCAAUUUUAUCAUGAGAAGCAUUUUACCUGUAUUGUCUGCUCACAAAACCUCUGCAAUCUUCCAGUAUUUUCCAA